GUGCAAACGCGAUCAUUAACUCACAUGAUGUGGCGGAAGUGAAGGGAACCAAGUUUACUAAAGCGAUUGUGGUGAUAGAAAUAUAUUUAGCCUCAGAAGCUACUGAGGUGGUCCAUUCUAUGCCAGUACAGUG